CGCGGCCUAUCAGCUUGUUGGUGGGGUGAUGGCCUACCAAGGCGACGACGGGUAGCCGGCCUGAGAGGGCGACCGGCCACACUGGGACUGAGACACGGCCCAGACUCCUACGGGAGGCAGCAGUGGGGAAUAUUGCACAAUGGGCGGAAGCCUGAUGCAGCGACGCCGCGUGAGGGAUGACGGCCUUCGGGUUGUAAACCUCUUUCAGCAGGGACGAAGCGAGAGUGGCGGUACCUGCAGAAGAAGCGCCGGCCAACUACGUGCCAGCAGCCGCGGUAAGACGUAGGGCGCGAGCGUUGUCCGGAUUUAUUGGGCGUAAGGAGCUCGUAGGCGGCUUGUUGCGUCGGCUGUGAAAACCCGUGGCUUAACUGCGGGCUUGCAGCCGAUACGGGCGGGCUAGAGUUCGGUAGGGGAGACUGGAAUUCCUGGUGUAGCGGUGAAAUGCGCAGAUAUCAGGAGGAACACCGGUGGCGAAGGCGGGUCUCUGGGCCGAUACUGACGCUGAGGAGCGAAAGCGUGGGGAGCGAACAGGAUUAGAUACCCUGGUAGUCCACGCUGUAAACGUUGGGCGCUAGGUGUGGGGGGCCUCUCCGGUUCUCUGUGCCGCAGCUAACGCAUUAAGCGCCCCGCCUGGGGAGUACGGC
rnacentral:rRNA from 1 species